GUCCCUUCCAAGACAUCUGGUCACAAUUGGGAAGAUACAAAGAAGAUUAGCAUGAUCCCUGCACAAGGAAGACACACACAAAUAGAGAAGAUACUUAAUCAUAU